UACGGAGGAUGCGAGCGUUAUCCGGAUUUAUUGGGUUUAAAGGGAGCGUAGGCGGGUUGUUAAGUCAGUUGUGAAAGUUUGUGGCUCAACCAUAAAAUUGCCGUUGAAACUGGAAGACUUGAGUGUGUUUGAGGUAGGCGGAAUGCGUGGUGUAGCGGUGAAAUGCAUAGAUAUCGCGCAGAACUCCGAUUGCGAAGGCAGCGUACCGGCGCCAGACUGACGCUGAGGCUCGAAAGCGUGGGGAGCAAACAGG
rnacentral:rRNA from 1 species